rnacentral:rRNA from 1 species
CCUACCCUUGACAUGCCAGGAAUCCUGCAGAGAUGUGGGAGUGCUCGAAAGAGAACCUGGACACAGGUGCUGCAUGGCCGUCGUCAGCUCGUGUCGUGAGAUGUUGGGUUAAGUCCCGCAACGAGCGCAACCCUUGUCAUUAGUUGCUACGAAAGGGCACUCUAAUGAGACUGCCGGUGACAAACCGGAGGAAGGUGGGGAUGACGUCAGGUCCUCAUGGCCCUUAUGGGUAGGGCUACACACGUCAUACAAUGGCCGGUACAGAGGGCUGCCAACCCGCGAGGGGGAGCCAAUCCCAGAAAACCGGUCGUAGUCCGGAUCGCAGUCUGCAACUCGACUGCGUGAAGUCGGAAUCGCUAGUAAUCGCGGAUCAGCUUGCCGCGGUGAAUACGUUCCCGGGUCUUGUACACACCGCCCGUCACACCAUGGGAGCGGGUUCUGCCAGAAGUAGUUAGCCUAACCGCAAGGAGGGCGAUUACCACGGCAGGGUUCGUGACUGGGGUGAAGUCGUAACAAGGUAGCCGUAUCGGAAGGUGCGGCUGGAUCACCUCCUU